rnacentral:rRNA from 1 species
UUCAAAAACAUCGCUCUUUGGUUUUUAUGUAUAGGGAGUCGUUUCUGCUCAAUGAUGUACGCAUUAAAUAGCAGCGGUAAUUUGACCGUUCAAAGGUAGUGUAAUUUCUAGCCCAUUAAUUGUGGGCCAAUGAAUGGAUUGACGGGUUUAUAUUGUCUCGCUUGUUUUCAAUAUAAUUUAACUUUUAGAUGAAGAGGUCUAAAUAUCAGAAAAAGACGAGAAGACCCCGUCAAACUUUAAUAGUUUCUAUGUAAUUUUUAUGUUUAUUGAGGGUUAACUGGGAUAUAUUUUAGUUGGGGCAACUGGAAAGGAGAAAUACUUUUAGGUGAGGGAGUUAAUGUGUGGGUUUGCAUAGCCAAAAAAUUUUGAAUUCAAAAUAAGUUACUGGAGGG